rnacentral:misc_RNA from 1 species
AACGCAAAUUGCACUCUUCGGUUUUCCGGGGAGUAUGCCUGUUUGAGGGUCAUGAAAUUAAAUAAUCGAUUCGUUUACCCCGGUAACGUUUCGGAAUUGAGCCAUCUUUUGAUUUUUUUAAGAGGUUUAAAAUUGAUCACCUUGGUAUGAUUUGAGCGUACUUAAGAUUUCAUAAUCACGUUCGAAGAGUAUCGCGAACCGGUUGGUUCAUAUUGGGCGUGACCAUCGAUCAUGGCAUCGUGUCCCAUAAUCAUCUCAUGAAUAUGACCUCAAAUCAGGUAGGAAUACCCGCUGAACUUAA